rnacentral:sRNA from 1 species
UAACCUCAGUGAGUGGAGGGCAAAGUAGAAGGGCACUCUUAGGCGCCGGCCAGGCUGCCCAAGCCCUUGCUGUCUGCUCUC